GACCUCGGAUCAGGUAGGGAUACCCGCUGAACUUAAGCAUAUCAAUAAGCGGAGGAAAAGAAACCAACAGGGAUUGCCUCAGUAACGGCGAGUGAAGCGGCAACAGCUCAAAUUUGAAAUCUGGCCUUCGGGUCCGAGUUGUAAUUUGCAGAGGAUGCUUCGAGCAUGGUCUAGUCUAAGUUCCUUGGAAUAGGACGUCAUAGAGGGUGAGAAUCCCGUAUGCGACUGGGUGCCUAAGCUCAUGUGAAGCUCCUUCGACGAGUCGAGUUGUUUGGGAAUGCAGCUCAAAAUGGGUGGUAAAUUUCAUCUAAAGCUAAAUAUUGGCCAGAGACCGAUAGCGCACAAGUAGAGUGAUCGAAAGAUGAAAAGCACUUUGGAAAGAGAGUUAAAUAGCACGUGAAAUUGUUGAAAGGGGAGCGC
rnacentral:rRNA from 1 species